rnacentral:ncRNA from 1 species
AGGUGCCGAAAGGCAUAACAGAGAAUCCGGUCAAAGCCGGAGCGGUCCCGCCACUGUGAGGGGAGCGACGCUGCAAAGAUGUCACUGAAGGAAGCAAAGUUCCUUUGGGAAGGCGCAGCGAAGCGAUGAACCGAGCCAGGAGAACUGCCUGCUUAUC